rnacentral:rRNA from 1 species
UACGAAGGGGGCUAGCGUUGUUCGGAAUUACUGGGCGUAAAGCGCACGUAGGCGGAUAUUUAAGUCAGGGGUGAAAUCCCAGAGCUCAACUCUGGAACUGCCUCUGAUACUGGGUAUCUUGAGUAUGGAAGAGGUGAGUGGAAUUCCGAGUGUAGAGGUGAAAUUCGUAGAUAUUCGGAGGAACACCAGUGGCGAAGGCGGCUCACUGGUCCAUUACUGACGCUGAGGUGCGAAAGCGUGGGGAGCAAACAGG